GUAGGUGGCAAGCGUUGUCCGGAAUUAUUGGGGCGUAAAGCGCGCGCAGGCGGUUCUUUAAGUCUGAUGUGAAAGCCCACGGGCUCAACCGUGGAGGGUCAUUGGAAACUGGAGAACUUGAGUACAGAAGAGGAAAGCGGAAUUCCACGUGUAGCGGUGAAAUGCGUAGAGAUGUGGAGGAACACCAGUGGCGAAGGCGGCUUUCUGGUCUGUAACUGACGCUGAGGCGCGAAAGCGUGGGGAGCAAACAGGAUUAGAUACCCUGGUAGUCCACGCCGUAAACGAUGAGUGCUAAGUGUUAGGGGGUUUCCGCCCCUUAGUGCUGCAGCUAACGCACUAAGCACUCAGCCUGGGGAGUACGGCCGCAAGGCUG
rnacentral:rRNA from 1 species